rnacentral:piRNA from 1 species
UGAGAAAUAAUGGUGGUUCACUUGCU